UACGUAGGGUGCAAGCGUUAUCCGGAAUUAUUGGGCGUAAAGAGCUCGUAGGCGGUUUGUCGCGUCUGCUGUGAAAACCGGAGGCUCAACCUCCGGCCUGCAGUGGGUACGGGCAAACUAGAGUGCGGUAGGGGAGAUUGGGAUUCCUGGUGUAGCGGUGGAAUGCGCAGAUAUCAGGAGGAGCACCGAUGGCGAAGGCAGAUCUCUGGGCCGUAACUGACGCUGAGGAGCGAAAGCGUGGGGAGCGAACAGG
rnacentral:rRNA from 1 species